GAUGAACGCUGACAGAAUGCUUAACACAUGCAAGUCCACUUGAAUUUGGGUUUUUAACUUAGGUUUGGGUGGCGGACGGGUGAGUAACGCGUAAAGAACUUGCCUCACAGCUAGGGACAACAUUUGAAAACGAAUGCUAAUACCUAAUAUUAUGAUAAUAGGGCAUCCUAUAAUUAUGAAAGCUAUAAGCGCUGUGAGAGAGCUUUGCGUCCCAUUAGCUAGUUGGAGAGGUAACGGCUCACCAAGGCGAUGAUGGGUAGCCGGCCUGAGAGGGUGAUCGGCCACAAGGGGACUGAGACACGGCCCUUACUCCUACGGGAGGCAGCAGUGGGGAAUAUUGGACAAUGGACCGAGAGUCUGAUCCAGCAAUUCUGUGUGCACGAUGAAGUUUUUCGGAAUGUAAAGUGCUUUCAGUUGGGAAGAAACAAAUGACGGUACCAACAGAAGAAGUGACGGCUAAAUACGUG
rnacentral:rRNA from 1 species